rnacentral:rRNA from 1 species
UACCCCAAACCGACACAGGUGGUCGGGUAGAGGAUACCAAGGCGCUUGAGAGAACUCAGGUGAAGGAACUAGGCAAAAUAGUACCGUAACUUCGGGAUAAGGUACGCUUUUUUGGGUGAGAACCUUUACGGUUUAAGCCUGAAAGAGCCGCAGAGAAAUGGUGGCUGGGACUGUUUAACAAAAACAUAGCACUCUGCAAACCUGAAAGGGGAAGUAUAGGGUGUGACACCUGCCCGGUGCUGGAAGGUUAAAUGAUGGGGUUAG